GAACUGUAGAGUUUGAUCCUGGCUCAGAUUGAACGCUGGCGGAAUGCUUUACACAUGCAAGUCGAGCGGCAGCGCGGGGCAACCUGGCGGCGAGCGGCGAACGGGUGAGUAAUACAUCGGAACGUGCCCAGACGUGGGGGAUAACUACUCGAAAGAGUAGCUAAUACCGCAUACGAUCUAAGGAUGAAAGCGGGGGAUCGCAAGACCUCGCGCGUUUGGAGCGGCCGAUGGCAGAUUAGGUAGUUGGUGGGGUAAAGGCUUACCAAGCCUGCGAUCUGUAGCUGGUCUGAGAGGACGACCAGCCACACUGGGACUGAGACACGGCCCAGACUCCUACGGGAGGCAGCAGUGGGGAAUUUUGGACAAUGGGCGAAAGCCUGAUCCAGCAAUGCCGCGU
rnacentral:rRNA from 1 species